rnacentral:rRNA from 1 species
GACGAACGCUGGCGGCGUGCCUAAUACAUGCAAGUAGGACGCAGUUGCGAACGUGUGAGUAACGCUUAGGUAACUGCCUAUUAGAGGGGGAUAACUAUUGGAAACGAUAGCUAAUACCGCAUACUAGUAGAUGGACCUGCGUUGUAUUAGCUAGUAGGUAGGGUAAUGGCCUGCCUAGGAGACGAGACAUAGCCGACCCUAGAGGGUGAUCGGCGAAACUGGGACUGGGAGACGGCCCAGACUCCUACGGGAGGCAGCAGGAGGGAAUCUUAGGAAAUGGGGGGAACCCUGACCGAGCAACGCCGCGUGAGUGAAGAGGGUUUUCGGAUCUUAAAGAUCUGUUGUUAAGGAAGCGGUACUUAACCAGAAAGGGACGGCUAACUACGUGCCAGCAGCCGCGGUAAUAC